rnacentral:lncRNA from 1 species
UCUCAUAAUUGGUUUGAGUUAUGACUCAUGUCCAAGACAAGAAGAUAGUACCAGCAAGAUUAAAAAGGGCUUCUUUUGAAAUAUUACCACCCUUCGCCUUGUGUCCCAUGCUAACUUCUAGAUAUUCAGACCUCAGAGGCUUGGUUCUUGACAUCCAACAGUUCACAGUAAGAGAAGAAACUAACAAUAUAAUUAAAUGUCUAAAUGUUAAAUGCUAUAAAUACAAAUAACAGGGGAGGAAUUAAGUUAGCCUGAGGGUAGAAUAUUUAGAAAGAAAUCGUUGCUGAAAUGAUUAUUUACAAUUUAGUCUAGGAUUUGCUGUUGAGUUGGGUGGUAGGAAGAAAGUGAAUGAUGAUGAAAGGAUGAAAAUAAAAAGAACUUAUUAAGUAUGUAAUUUAUUUACUUAUUUUUUCGUUUCAUAC